rnacentral:rRNA from 1 species
AACGAACGCUGGCGGCAUGCCUAACACAUGCAAGUCGAACGAGACCUUCGGGUCUAGUGGCGCACGGGUGCGUAACGCGUGGGAACCUGCACUUAGGUUCGGAAUAACUCCCCGAAAGGGGUGCUAAUACCGGAUAAUGUCUUCGGACCAAAGAUUUAUCGCCUUUGGAUGGGCCCGCGUUGGAUUAGCUGGUUGGUAGGGUAAAAGCCUACCAAGGCGACGAUCCAUAGCUGGUCUGUGAGGAUGAUCAGCCACACUGGGACUGAGACACGGCCCAGACUCCUACGGGAGGCAGCAGUGGGGAAUAUUGGACAAUGGGCGAAAGCCUGAUCCAACAAUGCCGCGUGAGUGAUGAAGGCCUUAGGGUUGUAAAGCUCUUUUACCCGGGAUGAUAAUGACAGUACCGGGAGAAUAAGCUCCGGCUAACUCCGUG